AUUGAACGCUGGCGGCAGGCCUAACACAUGCAAGUCGAGCGCGCGGCGGACGGGUGAGUAAUGUAUGGGGACUGCCCGUUAGAGGGGGAUAACUACUGGAUACGGUAGCUCAAACCCCACACUACCGGAUAACCCCCAGGGGAUUAGCUCGUAGGUGGGGUAAUGGCUCACCCAGGCGACGAUCCCUAGCUGGUCUGAGAGGAUGAUCAGCCACACUGGGACGGAGACACGGUCCAGACUCCUACGGAGGCAGCAGUGGGGAAUAUUGCACAAUGGGCGCAAGCCUGAUGCAGCCAUGCCGCGUGUAUGAAGAAGGCCCUAGGGUUGUAAAGUACUUUCAGUCGGGAGGCGUUACCGACAGAAGAAGCACCGACUAACUCCGUGCCAGCAGCCGCGGUAAUUC
rnacentral:rRNA from 1 species